rnacentral:rRNA from 1 species
AUUGAACGCUGGCGGCAGGCUUAACACAUGCAAGUCGAGCGGGGGAAGGUAGCUUGCUACCGGACCUAGCGGCGGACGGGUGAGUAAUGCUUAGGAAUCUGCCUAUUAGUGGGGGGCAACAUCUCGAAAGGGAUGCUAAUACCGCAUACGUCCUACGGGAGAAAGCAGGGGAUCUUCGGACCUUGCGCUAAUAGAGGAGCCUAAGUCGGAUUAGCUAGUUGGUGGGGUAAAGGCCUACCAAGGCGACGAUCUGUAGCGGGUCUGAGAGGAUGAUCCGCCACACUGGGACUGAGACACGGCCCAGACUCCUACGGGAGGCAGCAGUGGGGAAUAUUGGACAAUGGGGGGAACCCUGAUCCAGCCAUGCCGCGUGUGUGAAGAAGGCCCUAUGGUUGUAAAGCACUUUAAGCGAGGAGGAGGCUACUCUAGUUAAUACCUAGGGAUAGUGGACGUUACUCGCAGAAUAAGCACCGGCUAACUCUGUGCCAGCAGCCGCCGUAA